UGGAGAGUUUGAUCCUGGCUCAGAUUGAACGCUGGCGGCAGGCCUAACACAUGCAAGUCGAGCGGAUGAAGAGAGCUUGCUCUCUGAUUUAGCGGCGGACGGGUGAGUAAUGCCUAGGAAUCUGCCUGGUAGUGGGGGAUAACGUUCCGAAAGGAACGCUAAUACCGCAUACGUCCUACGGGAGAAAGCAGGGGACCUUCGGGCCUUGCGCUAUCAGAUGAGCCUAGGUCGGAUUAGCUAGUUGGUGAGGUAAUGGCUCACCAAGGCGACGAUCCGUAACUGGUCUGAGAGGAUGAUCAGUCACACUGGAACUGAGACACGGUCCAGACUCCUACGGGAGGCAGCAGUGGGGAAUAUUGGACAAUGGGCGAAAGCCUGAUCCAGCCAUGCCGCGUGUGUGAAGAAGGUCUUCGGAUUGUAAAGCACUUUAAGUUGGGAGGAAGGGCAUUAACCUAAUACGUUAGUGUUUUGACGUUACCAACAGAAUAAGCACCGGCUAACUUCGUGCCAGCAGCCGCGGUA
rnacentral:rRNA from 1 species